rnacentral:lncRNA from 1 species
UGGCACUAAAAUAAUUUGAAGAUAUUGCUAUAAACCUCAUUUUCAUCUCUAGAAAACUCUAGACCCUGUUCAUCAGGCAGUAGUAAUCAGAAGACAUAAUUCGGACUGGAUCAUCGGUACUUAUAUCUAUCCCCUCUUUCAUUCAACAGUAAAAAAAUAAAACCAACAUUCCCCCUUCUUUCGACGCCCUAUUAAGCUAACAGAACUUGGUGUCAAUUGAAAUAACUUAGUAACAAGAUAAUGGAAAAACACUCCAUGCGGCUAACCCAGGCAGGUUCUAUAGAUAACCAACAAGCAAAAUGUGACAACGAGAGGUCAAAUAGACAACUAAAUAGGUUCUAUAGAUAACUGACAAGAAGAAUGACAAUGAGAGGUCAACGAAACACGGGUUAUCAACCCUGUAACACAUUCUCUGCCACGUGAAAACAAAUUUGAUCAAGCAAUUGAUCUAUUAUCUCAAAGGUAAUUUAUUGCACUUUAAAUAUCAACUCCAGAUUACCCCAAAUAAAUCUUGAUUUGUUAGAUGCCCAUUAUUUCACUCUGUCAUGUUCCAGCAGACAAACGAGAUUGAAUAGACUUAAACAUGAAUAUACCCCAUGAUCACUCUAUUACCAUUAAAAAAAUCAGCAUAGCAUAAAAUUAGGGCAUAACGAGAGCAGAGCUUCAUGUUUGACAAUCACCACCCCAGGCCAAUCGUAAACAAAAGUCACUAGUUUGAUAUUAAUUAAGCAAGAUCACGCCUCAGAGACAAAACUUUCACAACAAAAGUAGACAUUUGUUAAAAAGACCAAAAUUCAACGUACUUCUAACCUAUUUGCCAUUAAUCCGACAACCCAAUCUAAUCAAGCAAAAAAUACACAUCUUUAUACGCGCGCAAACAUAUAUAUACAUAUACCAGAGAAAUGGAGAGGGAGUCCUCGAUAAUACUAAAAUUCAUUAAAACCCACAAGAGUUGCCUCAAGAAUACCAUAAUCGCUGUAAUUCUACAAGAAACCCCAAAAAAGUCUGAAUCUUUUAUCACAAAAAAUGAUACAGAGAAAGCCCAUAAGCAAAAUGGAAAAAGCAACAGAAAGAACUAUUUUUCCAACAUGCUGAGCCGAUUCUAGACGAAAUUGAGGGUGAUCCACGGUAGAACUAGAUGCGCUUGGUUGAGAGGAAUGUUUUGGUGGUGCUCCACGAUCGAGAGGGUGACCGGAUGUGGAAGUAACUGGGAAAAAUCGUGAUUGCGCUCGCGAUUUUGGAUGGGAAUUGGUGCUGUUUCCGACGGUCUGGUGGGCAGGCAAUGGUCGAAGGUUGUAGAGGGAGGUGAGAAGGUGCCGGUGGUGUAUGGGUCCGGUGGAUUAGGUGGCGGGUGGUGGUUUUUAUCGAUGGAAGGUGAUGGAGGAUUGGUAGCUCAAGAAAGAUGAAGAAUUUUGGGGAAAUGGACCAUUUCCCAUGUUUUCAUAUUUUGGGC